GAUGUGGCCUUUUUCCUGUGCUCCUAGCUGGGUCUAGUAUUAAAAUUAAAAAGAUUAAUUAUUUUAUUUAACAAAAAUGUCCCAGUUCUGCCUCAGGUGUGUGUUCUCGGAUGUCUCGUGACGUCUCCGCCGCUAAGCCGUCUGCUCUGGAGGUUGCCAGCUUCCUCGGACGAACAGUUGGCGCAGGCGCGGCACUGACAGCUGCUGUCUACUUACUACGCAAAGUGUGCUUAAUAAUGGCCUGGAAAUCUGGAGGAACCAGCCACGCAGAGCUUGUUAACAACCUCCGCAAAAAUGGAAUCAUUAAGUCCGACAAGGUCUAUGAAGUCAUGCUGGCCACGGACCGAGGCCAUUUCUCCAGGUGUAAUCCGUACAUGGACUCGCCACAGUCGAUAGGCUAUCAAGCGACCAUCAGCGCCCCACACAUGCACGCCUACGCCCUGGAGCUCCUCCACGACCAGCUGUACGAGGGAGCCAAGGCUUUGGACGUCGGCUCCGGCAGCGGCAUCCUGUCUGCUUGCUUUGCACGAAUGGUUGGAGCUAAAGGGAAAGUUAUAGGUAUCGAUCAUAUGAAAGAGCUGGUGGAUGAAUCGGUCACCAACGUAAAUAAAGAUGACCCCAGUUUGAUAACAUCGGGCAGAGUCACGCUAUUAGUGGGAGACGGGCGGAUGGGCUUCACUGAGGAAGCGCCUUAUGAUGCCAUUCACGUGGGCGCAGCAGCACCCAGUGUCCCCCAAGCUCUCCUGGACCAGUUGAAGCCCGGCGGCCGGCUGAUUCUGCCCGUCGGCCCGGCGGGAGGAAACCAGAUGCUGGAGCAGUACGACAAGCUGGAGGACGGCAGCACCAAGAUGAAGCCCCUGAUGGGAGUGAUUUAUGUGCCUUUAACAGACCGAGACAAGCAGUGGUCCAGGUGGAAGUGACUUCUUUCUCCCCCUCCUCACUCUCUCCUUCUCACGGUGGCAAAGGUGAAAUGGUGUGGCUUGGAGCAGGCAACGGGAAGAGGCUGCGUUUUGCUGCUUGUUGACAUGUUUGGCUUCUUCCAUACCAUCACCACGAGCUGCACAUCUCCUCCCAACGUUGUUUUUUUAACGCCACAGUUCCAAGCCUGACUAAUGGAUUUAAAGUGGUUUUUAGGGAUGAACUCUGAAGAGGAAGACGGUCCACAGCCCACCUUUUUGAAGUUUGAAGCGGGAGAGGACUUGGACGGGGUUGAACAGCCCAUGACAUUUUGUUCACAGCGUAACAAAACAUGCUCUUUUUGUUUCAGUCUAGCGAUGGACUCGAGUAGCACAUUGAUGACGGCCUGGAAGGGCCGGGAGAGACACUGUUGAAGCUCCGCACAGAAAUAUAUAUAUAUAUCGGAGAGGACAUUUAGUUUAUAUUUUCAGGCCUGCAUCUUUUUUUUUGGCUGUGUGUUCUUUUUAGAUGCAGGAUUUUUAGGGUUUGAUUUAUUUUAUUUUUCUGGUUGGUUGGUUUCACCAUUUUGAAAUGCAAUCAGCAAUUUCGACAGUACUACAUUUCAGCAGCAUCAAAGCUUAAUGUCAAAGGAACGCUGGACAACAACGAGGAAAGCCUCAAUCAUUCAGAUAAUAAUAAUUACGUCUGUGUGUGUGUGUGUGGAUCAUCAAACUGUAGACUUCUCUGCUAACAUAUGAGCUUUCCCCUUGUCAGCAGUAUUAGGAACACGCCCAACACACUGGCUGACCCACACAACCUGUUUGCUGUGUUAAGUCAUUCUACACAUGGAACAAGCAGGCGUUGCAUCAUCGUGCACACACUGCGCCGAGAGCUGAGCAUGAACUCCACCGAUGCACGCGCACAUACAAGGCUGUGCUUUUUGUCAUCCACGAUUAGCGCAGGCUCCUCCAGCGACUGAUACAAAAUGAGAUGGUCACUGCUUCGCCAAAAUAAACUUCAACACUAUAAAGCAAAUGAAUGUCUGUUUCCUUGAAAUCAAAAAGCACAUUUUUGUUUUGGAUAAUAUUCGGCUGUCACAGAUUCUGGAAUGGCACAUGAAAAUAAAGAGAUGCUUCUGGUUU